ACAGAAAAAUUACAGUAUCCACUGUUUUGAGUCUGCUUGGGAUUCUGCUUGGAGCUCUUUCGUAUUACUGCUACAGAAAACAAACGUCAGUGCAAGCUGAUGCUGAGGAAUCUGAACCAGUCUAUAUCAAUAUCAGUGAAAUGAAGAAUGACAGAGCAAAGCGCAGAAGUACACUGGGAAUCAGAGAAAAGAGCCCUGAAACAUACCAUCAUACAAGAAGAUACAGUCAUGAAAUAACAAACACAAAUCUAAGAAAUGAGACACCACCAACAGACAGUGUGACCUAUGCAACAGUUUAUUUCAACAAAUCCAGG